AAGGAACUUUAGCUCAUUACUCAUUUAUAGCAACUGCUGGCUGAUUCAUGUGAAGCAAGACUGCUGAAUAAAAACGUAUCUGAAAAUUUUACAUACGAGGUUUUUAGUCAUAGGGUAAGUAUAUAUAAUGUGUUAUGCAGGUCUUCGUCAGUAUUAGUUUCGAUCCUGUUUAUCAAGCUAUAAGUCUAUAACCCGAAACAUGUACUGCUUCAGCGACUUAGCCCUCAACAACCGAGACUGAUGAAAGUAAAACUGAAUUUGAGGGGUAGUCGGUUUUCAGUAUUAGAAUUAUUUUAUUGCCCAAGAGUAAAACUACGGGCCCUCAGAAAUACUAAUGCAGUACUAUUGACCUUGGAGAUUUUUAUGUACCAGUACUACCAGACUAGUAGUUUCUGCCAGGCUAGGUAAAUUCAGUUGACUGUAGAUAUAAAUUCUAUAAAAUUAAUCUUGAUUAAAUCAUUAGUUCAGUAUAAGAAUUAAAUGCAAAAUUAAAAUGCCAAAAUGGUAAACAUUAAUCAAUCAAAAUGAAACUUUUUUCCUCAAAAACAACAGAACUAUUGAUUCUUCUGCCUGUAUUUACAUGUCAUUUAUUGACUUAAACUAUAAAUGUAGCUAAACAAGACCAAUUUGAUUUCGCAGCCUUUUCUUACUUUGUCAUGUUUGAUGAAUGUUGACAACCGUUGUUUAAACCACAUUUACCAAUCGCCUUUAUUCCGCUUUCAUGUGGGAUAAAAUUUUAAACUUAAAGUCGCGACAACAGGAUCUGAUUUAUUUUGUGUAGCUGGCGUCCGGUGCAUGUUAAAUUCAAUUCAAUUCACUAAGAUGAAGAAUUUUUUGGUAUGUUCUGUUCUUCUCUUGGCAUUCUUCAACAAUCGUGUUCAAGGUAUG